rnacentral:rRNA from 1 species
CAGGUAGGAAUACCCGCUGAACUUAAGCAUAUCAAUAAGCGGAGGAAGGAGGCGGAGUAGGUUGUGUCUGCGUGUGCUUCGA